AGCAUAUCAAUAAGCGGAGGAAAAGAAACCAACAGGGAUUGCCUUAGUAACGGCGAGUGAAGCGGCAACAGCUCAAAUUUGAAAGCUGGCCCUUUUAGGGUCCGCAUUGUAAUUUGUAGAGGAUGAUUCGGCGAGGGCUCCUGCCUAAGUCCCCUGGAACGGGGCGUCAUAGAGGGUGAGAAUCCCGUAUGCGGUAGGUUGCCUUAGCCAUGUGAAUCUCCUUCGACGAGUCGAGUUGUUUGGGAAUGCAGCUCUAAAUGGGAGGUAAAUUUCUUCUAAAGCUAAAUACCGGCCAGAGACCGAUAGCGCACAAGUAGAGUGAUCGAAAGAUGAAAAGCACUUUGGAAAGAGAGUUAAAAAGUACGUGAAAUUGUUGAAAGGGAAGCGCUUGCAACCAGACUUGUCCGCAGUUGCUCAGCCGGUCUCCUGACCGGCGUACUCUUCUGCGGCCAGGCCAGCAUCAGUUCGGGCGGUCGGAUAAAGGCCUCGGGAAUGUGGCUCCUCUCGGGGAGUGUUAUAGCCCGGGGUGCAAUGCGGCCAGCCUGGACUGAGGAACUCGCUUCGGCAAGGAUGCUGGCGUAAUGGUUGUAAGCGGCCCGUCUUGAAACACGGACCAAGGAGUCUAACAUCUAUGCGAGUGUUCGGGUGUCAAACCCGUACGCGUAAUGAAAGUGAACGGAGGUGGGAACCCGCAAGGGUGCACCAUCGGCCGAUCCCUGAUGUCUUCGGAUGGAUUUGAGCAAGAGCAUAGCUGUUGGGACCCGAAAGAUGGUGAACUAUGCCUGAAUAGGGUGAAGCCAGAGGAAACUCUGGUGGAGGCUCGCAGCGGUUCUGACGUGCAAAUCGAUCGUCAAAUUUGGGUAUAGGGGCGAAAGACUAAUCGAACCAUCUAGUAGCUGGUUCCUGCCGAA
rnacentral:rRNA from 1 species